AUGCAGUUGGUCUCAUUAGGUCACAUUGCCAUUAAGGUUAAUGGCCAGGUGAGCAAAUUCUUUGCCAAUGGUAGGGGCCUGCAGCAGGGGGAUCCGGCCUCGCCUAUCCUUUUUUAUUUUGUUGCGGAUGCUCUGUCUCGUUUGCUUUCUAGGGCAGCUGCCUCGGGGCAUAUCUCUCUAGUCAGUUCUCAUCUUAUCCCCUCUGGUCUGACCCAUCUCCAAUUCGCGAACGACACUAUUAUCAUGGUUGAGCUGAAUGAUGCCUGCCUACCACACCUAAAGUUUAUUCUUCUUUGCUUCGAGGCGUUGUCGGGGCUUAAGAUUAAUUUUGCCAAAAGUGAAGUGGUGGUUACGGGAGUGGACCAUUCAGAAGCCAUGCGAGUGGCUCACCUUCAUAAUUGUAAGCUGGGCUCCUAUCCUUUCAAGUACCUAGGUCUUCCUAUCUCCCCGGAUGUGCUUCAUGCUAAAUAUUUUGCCCCAGAUGGGCAACAGGGUUCUACCCUGGCGGGGCAGAUAUAA
rnacentral:rRNA from 1 species